GUUUCUGAGAGCUUGAGGUUCUGCAGUAAUACAGCGCUGACACUCUUCUUUACCAGGAACUUGAUUCAUUACAAUAAAUCUCCUCAAAUGUGUGUCCACUGCAGCACACUCGUCUGGGGUCCAGCUUCUUUUGACGGCCGUUUGUUUUCCUAUGUAGGCAAAAAAAAAACAAAUAAAAACAUUGUAGGUUUUCUUUUAUGAAUAAAUUUUAAUCUUACUUAACCCCGUAAGACCCACUGUUUCAGUAUUACAACAUUUGUGGUUACUCCCCAAAACCCCUUUUAUCUUUUUUUUUAUUGUUUGUUUGUUUAUACAACCACAUCAAUAUGAUCUGUGGGUCCUACAUUUUAUUCCCACCAUGUAAUUGGAUCCAGGAUUUGUAUACAAAGCCCACCCUUAAGUCAAGAAGUGGCACAUCUUACAACUUUCUGAUGAAGCAACAUCCCUUUGAUUUACUGGACUGGAUUCAUCUUCAAGUCUUUUGCAAGAGACACCUGGCCACACCUGGCCAAUCCUCCAAGUUGUGCGGGAUGCUCCUGGUGCUUUGUUCUGGCACAGGUGUAAAUGUUCAUCACUGUUAGAUUUUGUUGUAAACUGGAUGCUGAAUGCAUUCCUGUAAGGAUUACAAUCACAGUCUACUAUAGAAUGCCACCAGCAAGGAGAAAUCCUCGGUACAAUGUGCACAAUGUUAAUGGCCAUCAUCCAAAAAGGAGAAAGUGAUGUGGACAUCGAUUUUGACGACACUGAUGCAAGUGAUGAAGAAUCAGAUAUUGAUGUCUCAUGUGGACAAAGAAAACCAAGAACCUACCGAUUGUCCAGCUAAUGUGAAUAUUGAGCCCGGGCAAUCAAAGAAAUACAUCAAGCCAUAUGACAGACGUCACUGAUUUCUCUGGUCAAGCUCUCACAGAUGAUGUCACCUCCCUCCACACACCACUGCAAUACUUCCAAAAGUUUGUGUCAGAAGAUUUGGUUCAAGCUCUGGCAACAAAUACGAAUGAGUACAGCAUUCAAAAUGACGAAAGAUCAGUCAACACUAAUACAAAAGAAAUACAGGCAGCAUUGGGUAUGUACCUGAGGAUGGAACAUUACAUUUUGUAAACAAUUUAACCAUGCCAGAGACUGAAAAGAGGGACAAACUCUGGAAACUCAGACCACGGCUUGAUUCACUCAGAGAAAACUGCCUGCAGGUGGUACCAGAAGAGCACAUUCCAUGGACAAGAUGAUGAUACCCUUCAACGGGAAGUUCAGCAGCAUCAAGAAGUAUAUGCAAGGUA